GCCGCGUCGGGAUCUUGGGCUUCUCCCAAGUCUGCCCAGAAGUGUCUAAGCGCCUGAGAGACUGCUUCACCAUGCAAUGGUAAUCUCCGCUGGAUUGCACAGGAGGGUGCUUCGGAAUGAGUGGCGCAUCCACCAUUUUGCGGAGACCUGUGUCUCUGAUUUUGUGUGUGCCUGUGCGUUUGUCUAGAAGCAAUAGAGAGGAGUGCUUUGAGCUAGUGGGGAACGGAAUGACCCACCACCAGUCCACAGGGGAAGGAACGUGGCAGCAAAGAGUCCUCAGAGUAUUUGUGGGGCUUAUACCGGGAGAUCGGCCGCCUCUCCCAGGAAAAAGGCCUCUAGUCGUGCUAGGCCGCAGGACCUCUUGAAUCACACACCAAAG